rnacentral:lncRNA from 10 species
UGAGUACCAGGACAAUCGCAGGGUUGCACAGACACCGGCACAGAAGUGGUGGGUGACGCACUGAUUAGAGGACAUUUCUGUGGAAGGGUGGAGUUUCACUUUGAAGCAGGGGCAGCUCUGGCAACAGUAGCUGGAGGUGACCAAGUGCCCUACUGAGGCUUCCUCUUCAGGGACUGUGCUGGAAAGAGGAUGGAGCAGGCAUCCCAGACACAGUGGGACUGAAUCAGCAGGGCACAGCCAUCUCCUGGAAGUUAUCCAGGCUCCCAAGAUUUUUGUAUUGGGUGAGCCAGGGGGAGCAUCAAAUGACAAAAGGCAUCUGGAGACCUGGAAGAGAAGAAAGCAUUCUUUCUAUUCCCUGAAAGUAACUCACAAAUUUUCCUCAGCUUCCUUCAGAAUGACUUUUAGAUAUGACCUUCUCAGGCCUAUUCUGGUCUUUUGGCCUUUUCUUCAGAGUCUCGUUCUCUUAGCUUGGAAGGUAACACGAACAACGUUUGUCUUCCAGAAUGAUUGUUGGACCCACAACAUUGGCCCUGAGCUUUUUUGCAGAGAUAAAUCAACCUCUCUGUGCUCCAGUUUCUCAUCUGUGAAAUGGAGAGAAUAACAACCCCUCCCAGAAUUUUUAUAAGGGCUAAGUGAAACCAUGUUUGUGCCUGGGACUUGAUAGUUCAUUAUGCACAUGUUUUUAUCUUGUUGUUAAAAUUCCAUAUAAAAUUAGCUUUUCAGUGGCUCCUGUGAUGACUGAUGAUUAAUACAUUUUAAAUAGUGUUGAAAUAAAAAGCACCAUGUGUGCAAAAAGUGAUGUGUUAAAUCACGUAGUAGAAAUAAAUGCAAUAAAACUCAUCUUUGUUCUGCUUUAGUUUGCUAAAAUGUACAUUCAGAUUUUAAUUUUGUCAUGCAGGCUGCACUUUUUGCUAUACUGCCCCUCCCUUUCCCCUUUCACGUCCCAGCCACAAGAUUUCCCUGAACGAGUCAGGGAUUUCCCCAAGUAUUUGAAUGCCUUUUAUGCAUUGGACACUGUGUCCCUGCUGCCAUCUCAUUCUGGUGGGGAGCGGACAGGAAGCUGGGAACCAUGGAAACACAGAAGACGGACAGCUGACCCAGGAGUGCUCCCUGGAGGAGGAGGUCUCUUGAGCCCAGACCUGGGAACUCUGGAGGUCAGCGUGGGCAGUGUGGGC